rnacentral:rRNA from 1 species
AUUGAACGCUGGCGGCAGGCCUAUCACAUGCAAGUCGAACGAGUGGCGGAAGUGUGAGUAAUGUCUGGGACACUGCCUGAUGGAUGGGGAUAACUACUGGAACCGGUAGCUAAUACCGCAUACCAUCAGAUGUGCCACGCUGGGAUUAGCUUGUUGGUGGGGUAACGGCUCACCAAGUCGACGAUCCCUAGCUGGUCUGAGAGGAUGACCAGGCAAACGGGAACUGAGACACGGUCCAGACGCCUACGGGAGGCAGCAGUGGGGAAUAGUGCACAAUGGGCGAAAUCCUGAGGCAGCCAUGCCGCGUGUAUGAAGAAGGCCUGCGGGUUGUAAAGUACUUUCAGCUGGGAGGCGUUACCCGCAGAAGAAGCACCGGCUAACUCCGUGCCAGCAGCCGCGGUAAUUC